AAACAUCUGGCUACCUUCUAGCAGAAUCCAUUCCCUUUCUCUCUACCAUCGCCAGAAGCUCUCUCCUGAGGAGAACGGAGUCCUGUCUUGUGCCCCGCUGCACUCUGCUGCCAGCCAAGGACACGGUCCAAAGAUCCCUCAUCUGCCUCACGACCACAGUCAAGGACAGAGAUUGAAGCCCCCCCAAGGACUGAGACUGAGACCCUUCAAAUUCUAACCCAGGGGUGCUGGCCUGACUGGAGCGGGAUGUCUGCCAUGGGAAGCGGGAUGUUUCCCAUAGGAACCAGUCCUGAAACAACGGGCCCCGCUCACUGCUGGCACCGGUUUGUGCUGUUCAGACCUGGACUGUCUGUGCCUGUU